rnacentral:lncRNA from 1 species
UCUAAAUCCCCGGCCCUAAAACUUCAAGUUUUUUUUUUUUUUUGGUACUGGGGAUUGAACUCGGGUCCUUGCGCUUGCAAGGCAGGUCACCGAACUGCUGAUCUAAAUCCCCGGCCCUAAAACUUCAAGUUUUAUAAAAUAACAUGACCGACUAUGAGGUAAAGUAUCCUCCUCUCUGGUAUUCUAACAACGUUCCAAUCUCCAUAACACCUCACCUUUGGCACCCUCCUCAAACUGGUUUGUGACUAGGGUUGUCUCUGAAGACUCUUCCUUUGGUAAAGAGAUAAUUUACCUGGACUGAACAGAUUACCCUAGACUCUUGUGAGCUCUUGAAAUGAUACAUGCAUGUUAGUAUAUAUGCAUAUGCCCAGUUUUUAGCUCCAGAGAGAAUCCUUUGGUCUUUUCAGGUGCACAAAAGGAUGUCUUACUCACUGAAUUUUGAGAAUGAUGGCUUUUUUCAGUAAGUUAAGUGGCUUACUGUUUAGGGUUCAUGAAGACAUGUGGACACACACAAAUUUCAUAUGUCGUACAAAGGGCAGAGGAAAUGUUACCUGAGGAAACUCAGCAACUAAUUCUUUUCUUUUAUUUCCAAAUAGAAUGUUUGGACCAAUGAGAAAGAAUAUCAUACCUCAGUUGCUAUCCUUCCAUUGUUACCUUCAAAAGUAAAAAGUUCUGAGCACAGGACUGAGGGAGCGUCUGAAACUGGCUCUGGAAAAGAGCUGACAUUCACUCAAAGUUUCAAAAUCACAACAUACACCAUUAAGCGAUGGAAGCUGUACAUCUCACAAGACCCUGGCGAACUCUGCAAACCACAUUCUGAACAGUUGGUGAGAGGUGGCCACGGGGGAGGGGCCAGCUUCCUGUGCUUUGACAGAUGAGCAGAAGCCAGAGUUAAAAUCUGACUUGUUUGCAAGGAUUCCAAAACCAGAUCCAAAUCAUCUCUCAGAAUCUUUUCAGAAAUCAGAGUCUUUCAAGUAGCAUCAAGCAAGGCUGCAUGAUUCUGGUAAGUCUCACUUGGGGUCUAAGGAGUACAUGACCAACGCAAGCUCUUCAUAGAAUGCAGAACCUGCUAAAUCCAAACCUAAAUAUUUCAUAAUAAAAUGUCAACCUUCCAAAUUACGUUCUGCAUGAACAAACAAGCCUGGAAAACAUUGAAACAACAGUGCAGUAGGUGGAAACAGAUGUCACCGUUUAUUUUUAAAAUUAGUUUAUUCAACAACUGAAUGGGAUAUGUUGCUUAUUCUACACAACACUUUAGGAUCUGAGUAGUUUACCUGUUGUUAAAAAAAUAC